UACGUAGGGUGCGAGCGUUGUCCGGAAUUAUUGGGCGUAAAGGGCUCGUAGGCGGUCCAUCGCGUCGGGAGUGAAAAGCUGGGGCUUAACCCCAGUCCUGCUUUCGAUACGGGUGGACUAGAGGUAUGCAGGGGAGAAUGGAAUUCCUGGUGUAGCGGUGAAAUGCGUAGAUAUCGGGAGGAACACCUGUGGCGAAAGCGGCUCACUGGACCACAACUGACGCUGAUGCGCGAAAGCUAGGGGAGCAAACAGG
rnacentral:rRNA from 1 species